UGGGAUUAGCUUGUUGGUGAGGUAACGGCUCACCAAGGCGACGAUCCCUAGCUGGUCUGAGAGGAUGACCAGCCACACUGGAACUGAGACACGGUCCAGACUCCUACGGGAGGCAGCAGUGGGGAAUAUUGCACAAUGGGCGCAAGCCUGAUGCAGCCAUGCCGCGUGUAUGAAGAAGGCCUUCGGGUUGUAAAGUACUUUCAGCGGGGAGGAAGGUGUUGUGGUUAAUAACCGCAGCAAUUGACGUUACCCGCAGAAGAAGCACCGGCUAACUCCGUGCCAGCAGCCGCGGUAAUACGGAGGGUGCAAGCGUUAAUCGGAAUUACUGGGCGUAAAGCGCACGCAGGCGGUCUGUCAAGUCGGAUGUGAAAUCCCCGGGCUCAACCUGGGAACUGCAUUCGAAACUGGCAGGCUUGAGUCUU
rnacentral:rRNA from 1 species